rnacentral:rRNA from 1 species
CUUUGUUGCCAGCGGUCCGGCCGGGAACUCAAAGGAGACUGCCAGUGAUAAACUGGAGGAAGGUGGGGAUGACGUCAAGUCAUCAUGGCCCUUACGACCAGGGCUACACACGUGCUACAAUGGCAUAUACAAAGAGAAGCGACCUCGCGAGAGCAAGCGGACCUCAUAAAGUAUGUCGUAGUCCGGAUUGGAGUCUGCAACUCGACUCCAUGAAGUCGGAAUCGCUAGUAAUCGUAGAUCAGAAUGCUACGGUGAAUACGUUCCCGGGCCUUGUACACACCGCCCGUCACACCAUGGGAGUGGGUUGCAAAAGAAGUAGGUAGCUUAACCUUCGGGAGGGCGCUUACCACUUUGUGAUUCAUGACUGGGGUGAAGUCGUAACAAGGUAACCGUAGGGGAACCUGCGGUUGGAUCACCUCCUU